rnacentral:rRNA from 1 species
GAUGAACGCUAGCUACAGGCUUAACACAUGCAAGUCGAGGGGAAACGACAUCGAAAGCUUGCUUUUGAUGGGCGUCGACCGGCGCACGGGUGAGUAACGCGUAUCCAACCUGCCCACCACUUGGGGAUAACCUUGCGAAAGUAAGACUAAUACCCAAUGAUAUCUCUAGAAGACAUCUGAAAGAGAUUAAAGAUUUAUCGGUGAUGGAUGGGGAUGCGUCUGAUUAGCUUGUUGGCGGGGUAACGGCCCACCAAGGCAACGAUCAGUAGGGGUUCUGAGAGGAAGGUCCCCCACAUUGGAACUGAGACACGGUCCAAACUCCUACGGGAGGCAGCAGUGAGGAAUAUUGGUCAAUGGACGAGAGUCUGAACCAGCCAAGUAGCGUGCAGGAAGACGGCCCUAUGGGUGGUAAACUGCUUUUAUAAGGGAAUAAAGUGAGUCUCGUGAGACUUUUUGCAUGUACCUUAUGAAUAAGGACCGGCUAAUUCCGUG